UUGCACCAGUGGCUUCCCCGAGGCUCUCAGGCCCCCGGCCUCAGACUGAAGACUGCACUGCGGGCUUUCCUGGUUUUGAGGCUUUUGGACUUGGACUGAGCCACUACUAGCUUCUCUCUUUCCCUACCUGGCAGACAGCCUGUUGUGGGACUGCCUUCUAACCGUGUGAACCAAUUCUCUCUGGGAGCUUAUAGCUUCAUUGCACUGUGUGUGGCAUUUGGGUCCUGUUUGACAGCAAUGACUGCCUUUCUGUUUAGUGUCUGUGUGCUAUGAAGAUUGCACACAGGGGUCCAGAUGCAUCCUGUUUUGAGAAUGUUAAUGGAUACACCAGCUGCUGCUUUGGAUUUCACCCAUUGGUGGUAGUGGACCCGCUGUUUGGAAUGCAGACAAUUUAAGUGAAGACAUAUCCAUAUAUGUGGCUCUGUUACAAUGGUGAAAUCUACAACCAUAAGAAGGUGCAGCACCAGUUUGAAUUUGAAUACCAGACCAAAGUGGAUGGUGAGAUAAUCCUUCAUCUUUAUGACAAAGGAGGAAUUGAGCAAACAAUUUGUACGUUGGUUGGUGUGUUUGCAUUUGUUUUACUGGAUUCUGCCAAUAAGAAAGUGUCCCUGGACAGAGAUACAUAAGGAGUCAGACCUUUGUUUAAAGCAGUGACAGAAGAUGGAUUUUUGGCUGUGCGUUCAGAAGCUAAAGUUCUGGAGGCCACAAGUCCAAAAUCAAGGUGUGGGCAGAAAUGCGCUCCCUCUGCAGACUCCUGGGGAGGAUGCUUGUUUCUUCCAGCUCUGCGACUGUGGUGCCUGCAGCCAUUGGAACCAGCUCUGCACGGCUCAGACCUGGGUGAUGAGGACACAGCUUUGCAGGUGGGCAGCCACAUCCCCAGGGGGAGACUGUGGGCCUGUGGCAGGGUAGGGGCAACCAGUGCAGGGGCUCCCCAUUGUUGCCCCUGAGCUCCUGGGGCUUGUGGAGAAAGACAGG
rnacentral:lncRNA from 1 species